CCAGGUGCAUCCAUGCUAACCACCAUGGCCAGUUCUGUUGUCACAUGAGGCCUCCCAACAACAGAGGGUGUGGCACUUCUUCCCUAAACAAGCAGGCAGCAGAGCGGGAAGCUUCCUCUCCUGAGCUGUGCCUCUUUCUUUACAUGCCCACCUUAGACAAUUAACGCUCCCUGCACAUUCUAGUGAACAGGUCCUUCACACAGCAUUAGAAUGAGUCCCAAUAUAUAUGGCCACCAGACUGGGAUUGGGACUCAAAAGAAAUGUUUUGUUUUUUUGUUUCCUAUUUGGUACUCAUAGCACCUUGGGGCCUCCUCCCUAAGCAUGGUGUGGUGCGGGUAUUUAAUUAGUAUGUCGGUUUCAUGAAUGAAUAAGUAGUGGCAUCGUAAAUAGAAACAUUUAAUCCUCCUGCUCUGGGCUUUCUGGGAGGCUCAUGGAGUACAGCUGUUGAUUCGUUCUGUGUAGUCAGCUGAGGCCACAUCAGGGCAAGGGGGUGUGAUUCAAUUUGGGGUUUGAUAAUCGCCUGUGGACCUUCCGACUCUCACAUCUCCCUGUCUUCCCUUUUGGCUCCUUGGAGGACACAGAAGUUCCAUGGGCUCCUGCUGGUCAAUGGCAAGUGACUUCUCUCUUCUGCUGUAAAGAAUAAAAGAAAUGCUUGAAAAUGCUUAGCACACGUGAAAUGGGGACCUUCCGAAGAACAUCAUCUAAAACAAAGGCACACUCCAGGAGUCGAACCCUUUGUUUGAACCUGAGAGAACUGCUUAGCUGGGCUUUCAUCCACACCGGGGAUCCUUUAGC